rnacentral:rRNA from 1 species
ACGGAGCAUUAGGUAGUUGGUGAGGUAACGGCCCACGAAUCCGGAGAAGCGUAGCCACCUGAGAGGGUGACCGCCGACAGCGACGUUGAGACACGGGCCUGAUUCUUACGUGAGGUAGCAGAGUGAGAUCUUCCUCAAAGUGCGAAUGCUUGAUGGAGCACAGAGGUUGUGAAUGAUGAAGCCCUCAUGAUUUAAGAGUCGGUCAUUCGUGAGGAACUGGAGUAUGAGGAAAGGUUGCCUAUCGGACGGUACCGGAGGAGUAAGCCCCGGUAUAAGUCGUACCAGCACCGGUGGUCAUAUGUAGUGGGCAAGGGUUUCUCGCAUUCGCUGGGCGUUAAGUGCGCGCAGGGGGUAAGGUAAGUGGGAUGAUAAAACCCGAAGGUGAACGUGUGUUUUCCUUUUGAGACAGGGUGCCAAGAGGAUCGUAGAGGCAAG